rnacentral:rRNA from 1 species
AAAAUUGUAUAGUUUAUAAACCAGAGUAGUAUUAGUUAGGGUCUUCAAACUCAAAAAAUUUGGCGGUAUUUUAGUCUAUUUAGAGGAACCUGUAGUAUAAUCGAUAAUCCACGAUGGACCUUACUUAAUUUUGUUUUUCAGUUUGUAUACCGCUGUUAUUUGAAGAUUUUAUAAGAAUAUUAAUUUUCAGAAUUUUUUAUUAAAUAAUAUAUCAGGUCAAGGUGCAGCUUAUGGUUAAGAAUUUAUGGGUUACAAUAAAAUUAUUUAUACGAAUGAAAAUAUGCAAUUAUUUUUUGAAGGCGGAUUUAAUAGUAAAUUUUUAAAGAUAAAAGGAUUGAUU